rnacentral:rRNA from 1 species
GACGAACGCUGGCGGCGUGCUUAACACAUGCAAGUCAACCGGAAAUUCCCUGCUUUAGUUGGGUGCUCGAGUCGCAAACGGGUGAGUCACAUGUGAGACACCUCCCAUAGACAUUGGGAACACUUCAGGAAACUGGGGCAUACAUCGGAUAGGAGCUCCAGCUGCAUGGAGGAGGAUGAAAACUUUCGGCGGUUGGGGAUGGGCUCGCGGCGUAUCAGCUUGUUGGUGGGGUAGCGGCUUACCAAGGCGUUGAUGGGUAGCCGGCCUGAGAGGGUGAUCGGCCAAAUUGGGGAUGGAGUCAGGGCCAUAAUCCUACGGGGGGGAACAGUGGGGAAUUAUGCAAAAUGGGAGGAAGCGUGAGGCAGAAACGCCGUGUGCGGGAGAUGGACCUUCGCGUUGUAAAAAGUUUUCUCAGGUGACGAGGCAUAAAUGACGGUAAUAGGAGAAGAAGUGACGGCUAAAUACGUG